rnacentral:lncRNA from 1 species
CAGACUUGUGACAUUCGGCCCAUAUGGAAAAUUCUUCAGCAUGGCUCUAAAUUUCUAGUUCAGGACCCAUCCGCUGAAGGAGUGAGUAAUGCAUGCAACCAGAACUGAAAGCUUAGAGCAUUACUAAGUUAUCGUCACUGCAGUAUCUAAGCUGGAAUGCAUGCACUGCCUGUAUGUACUGCUGAGGCACCAAAAGGUCUAGGAAGCGGAGGAGGGGAGGGUGUAUCGGCUGGAAGUGGAGGGU